CUCAAAGAAAAACAGCAGGCUGGACAGGUGCUUCCUCGCAUUUCAGUCACGAAUGAGCAGUAGUUUUAAUAGUCUUUCCCCGCGGUUUUACGAUAAUACCAGAAGUCUGGUGGAGAUCCAGUUAAAUCUUCGAGAAUAGAAGACGGGCUUAGAGGAAUUCCGUGCCAGCACAAAAUCAGGCCUACAGGUGUUUGCCUUCUUCCUCAACAUCAGGCGUGCCCAGGCUAUGGGUCUGGGGGCUGAGUUUGGUUGGUCUGGACAGGAGUAAAACAACUCACUUUGAUCCGGACCAAAGAAGAUGGAGGGUCAGCACCCCAAUCCCAGGUGGAGAAAGGGUACUGUCUCUUAUGAGGACAAGGCUGGGAAACAGAGCUGCAAGAGCCCAGAGGGAUCGCCUUCCGGACCCCCUGCGUCUGGCCCUAGUAAGCAGCCAGAGCAAAGAAGACUGGGGCAUAGGUGCUUGGCUGUUGCGUGGUAUAGCAGGAGGUGGAUGCUGCAGGCGCUUUAGGAAGCUGCUAGCUUUAGCCCGUUCCAUUCCGGCAAGGCUGGGCACCAUCCUCUUAGUGGCCUCGGGCCUGCGCCCACCUCCAGCGGCCUCGGUCUAGAACCGAGCGGAGCUCCAUGUUUCUCUGGUCCGGGUUUUCGGGAACUCUCAGCGCCUCCAGCAACUUGUACCUCUAGGGAAAUGCCUGCCUUGCCGGGGAGCCUUGACCAGAGCAGCCCCUCAGCAAGCUGGUGUAGCGCUCCGAAGU